CUCGUGAGGGAGCUUGACGGUACUGUAAGAAUAAGGAUCGGCUAACUCCGUGCCAGCAGCCGCGGUAAUACGGAGGAUCCAAGCGUUAUCCGGAAUCAUUGGGUUUAAAGGGUCCGUAGGCGGUUAGAUAAGUCAGUGGUGAAAGCCCAUCGCUCAACGGUGGAACGGCCAUUGAUACUGUUUAACUUGAAUUAUUAGGAAGUAACUAGAAUAUGUAGUGUAGCGGUGAAAUGCUUAGAGAUUACAUGGAAUACCAAUUGCGAAGGCAGGUUACUACUAAUGGAUUGACGCUGAUGGACGAAAGCGUGGGUAGCGAACAGGAUUAGAUACCCUGGUAGUCCACGCCGUAAACGAUGGAUACUAGCUGUUGGGAGUAAUCUCAGUGGCUAAGCGAAAGUGAUGAGUAUCCCACCUGGGGAGUACGUUCGCAAGAAUGAAACUCAAAGGAAUUGACGGGGGCCCGCACAAGCGGUGGAGCAUGUGGUUUAAUUCGAUGAUACGCGAGGAACCUUACCAAGGCUUAAAUGUAGAUUGACCGAUUAGGAAACUAGUCUUUCGCAAGACAGUUUACAAGGUGCUGCAUGGUUGUCGUCAGCUCGUGCCGUGAGGUGUCAGGUUAAGUCCUAUAACGAGCGCAACCCCUGUUGUUAGUUGCCAUCGAGUCAAGUCGGGAACUCUAACAAGACUGCCAGUUCAAACUGUGAGGAAGGUGGGGAUGACGUCAAAUCAUCACGGCCCUUACGCCUU
rnacentral:rRNA from 1 species